UGGGGAAUAUUGGACAAUGGGCGCAAGCCUGAUCCAGCCAUGCCGCGUGUGUGAAGAAGGCCUUUUGGUUGUAAAGCACUUUAAGCGAGGAGGAGGCUACUUGGAUUAAUACUCUAAGAUAGUGGACGUUACUCGCAGAAUAAGCACCGGCUAACUCUGUGCCAGCAGCCGCGGUAAUACAGAGGGUGCGAGCGUUAAUCGGAUUUACUGGGCGUAAAGCGUGCGUAGGCGGCUUCUUAAGUCGGAUGUGAAAUCCCUGAGCUUAACUUAGGAAUUGCAUUCGAUACUGGGAAGCUGGAGUAUGGGAGAGGAUGGUAGAAUUCCAGGUGUAGCGGUGAAAUGCGUAGAGAUCUGGAGGAAUACCGAUGGCGAAGGCAGCCAUCUGGCCUAAUACUGACGCUGAGGUACGAAAGCAUGGGGAGCAAACAGG
rnacentral:rRNA from 1 species